GGGAAGGUAGCUCAGUGGUAGAGCGCUUGCCUUGGGUGCUUGAGGCCCUGGGUUCAAUUCCUCAGCACCA
rfam:Dipodomys ordii contig_22483, whole genome shotgun sequence.